UACAGAGGGUGCAAGCGUUAAUCGGAAUUACUGGGCGUAAAGCGUGCGUAGACGGUUAUUUAAGUCAGGUGUGAAAGCCCCGGGCUCAACCUGGGAAUUGCAUUUGAGACUGAAUAGCUAGAGUUCGGCAGAGGGAAGCGGAAUUUCCGGUGUAGCGGUGAAAUGCGUAGAUAUCGGAAGGAACAUCAGUGGCGAAAGCGGCUUCCUGGACCAGAACUGACGAUCAGGCACGAAAGCGUGGGGAGCAAACAGG
rnacentral:rRNA from 1 species